CCAUUCCAGAGCAGGCAGAGGCCAGCUGUCCAGCCCACAGUCGAGGGCCGCUCUUGUCUCUCCCGAGUCUUCCGGCCGCUGUCUCUUUCAAGUCUGACAACUAUCAGGCAACAUACAUUGUCCGUGCCCCUGGUUCAUCAGAAAGAGAGAGUGUGAGGGCAAUUAAUUUCUUGAGACUCACACAGAAAACAAGAAAACCAAGAUGGCUGCGUUCGUGGCGAAGCAGAUGGUUGGCAACAAGUUAAAUGCCGUUAAAGGAUUGUUUUCUUCCGAACUUAAAACGGCCAAAGGUGCCGUUGGAGGGGACAAUGAUGACGCCGAUGACAAAGAGAAGGAGGAGGAGGCCGAACGAGAACGGCAGGAAGCCAUCCGGGAGGCGGAGGAAAGGAGAAAAGAAAAACACAGGAAGAUGGAAGAGGAAAGAGAAAAAAUGAGACAAGAAAUAAGAGACAAGUAUAAUAUUAAGAAGAAGGAAGAAGUGAUUGAACAGCCUCCUGAAGAACCAGCAAAUCCUUUGAUGAGGAAGAAGAAGACGCCUGAGGAGCUGGCACGUGAAGCGGAAGCAGAAGAACAAGACGAGUUCACAAACCGGUGGUGUCCUUGUUUAUUAAGAUGUGGGUUUUAGAAAAAUCUUCAUCCCUUCAAAAAUUAUCUGCACAAAUUCCACUCUCACAAACACACCGGAAAGAACUGAAGAACUCUAUAGAGACACAAGUGAAUGAAAUUAAGACCCAGAUAGAAAGCAGGUGCAGUCUUCAGUGAGCACUCCACCAUUAU
rnacentral:misc_RNA from 1 species